UUUAAAAAGAAAACCUUUACUGAAUCAGCUGAGUGUUAAUAAUACGAAUUUCCUUUUCUUGCCAAUUCUGAUCUGAACAGAAAAUCCAAGAACAGGGAUAUGUGUGGAUUACAGUUUUCUCUGCCUUGCCUACGACUGUUUCUGGUUGUUACCUGUUAUCUUUUAUUAUUACUCCACAAAGAAAUACUUGGAUGUUCGUCUGUUUGUCAGCUCUGCACUGGGAGACAAAUUAACUGCCGUAACUUAGGCCUUUCGAGUAUUCCUAAGAAUUUUCCUGAAAGUACAGUUUUUCUCCUUGCAUCCAAGGGUCCUUAAGCCGUUGUCUUCAUUGAUUCAUCUUCAGGCAAAUUCUAAUCCUUGGGAAUGUAACUGCAAACUUUUGGGCCUUCGAGACUGGCUAGCAUCUUCAGCCAUUACUCUAAACAUCUAUUGUCAGAAUCCCCCAUCCAUGCGUGGCAGAGCAUUACGUUAUAUUAACAUUACAAAUUGUGUUACAUCUUCAAUAAAUGUAUCCAGAGCUUGGGCUGUUGUAAAAUCUCCUCAUAUUCAUCACAAGACUACUGCGCUAAUGAUGGCCUGGCAUAAAGUAACCACAAAUGGCAGUCCUCUGGAAAAUACUGAGACUGAGAACAUUACUUUCUGGGAACGAAUUCCUACUUCACCUGCUGGUAGAUUUUUUCAAGAGAAUGCCUUUGGUAAUCCA
rnacentral:lncRNA from 1 species